GCUGUAUGUCCUGCAGCUCAAAGACUCUAUCAUCUCCACUCUACCAGAGCCCAUCUGGGAAUUUGUAAUUGACUGUGGAAGCAUUUUUCAGGACAGCUGCUUUUACAGCCUUGAUGAUUUGGGUGAGAUGAGGUCAUCUGACAUCUGAGUGAUCCUUGAGGUGGUGCUGGUCGCACCUCAAAGGAUGUGGUCUGGUUCUCUGCCGUCCUGUCUAUCCUGGGCCUCCCUCUUCCACGGAUAAGGAUGUGAAGAAACAAACGAGAAAGCAAAGUGAAUCAGAAUCCACCUGGCACUGCAGAGGACACCGGUUCAACCCCUGGUCCUGGAAUAUCCCACCUGCCAGAGAGCAACUAUACCCGUGCGCCACAUCUACGGAAGCCCUCACGCCCUGGAGUUUGUGCUCCGUGACAAGAGAAGCCACCGCAGUGAGAAGCCCGCGCGCCACCGUGAAGAGCAAACCCUGCCUUCCACAACUAGAGAAAGCCUGCGUGCAACAGUUGAAGACCCAGAGC
ensembl:lncRNA